rnacentral:rRNA from 1 species
GACGAACGCUGGCGGCGUGCUUAACACAUGCAAGUCGAGCGAUGAAGCUCCUUCGGGAGUGGAUUAGCGGCGGACGGGUGAGUAACACGUGGGCAACCUGCCUUAUAGAGAGGAAUAGCCAUCCGAAAGGAUGAUUAAUACCUCAUAAUAUUGUAGUCUCGCAUGAAGCAACAAUCAAAGGAGCAAUCCACUAUAAGAUGGGCCCGGGGCGCAUUAGCUAGUGGGUGAGGUAACGGCUCACCAAGGCGACGACGCGUAGCCGACCUGAGAGGGUGAUCGGCCACAUUGGGACUGAGAAACGGCCCAGACUCCUACGGGAGGCAGCGGUGGGGAAUAUUGCACAAUGGGGGAAACCCUGAUGCAGCAACGCCGCGUGAGUGAUGACGGCCUUCGGGUUGUAAAGCUCUGUCUUCAGGGACGAUAAUGACGGUACCUGAGGAGGAAGCCACGGCUAACUACGUGCCAGCCGCCGCAGUAACAC